rnacentral:rRNA from 1 species
AGUGGCGGACGGGUGAGUAACGCGUGGGUAACCUGCCCUAUGCAGGGGGAUAACAGUUAGAAAUGACUGCUAAUACCGCAUAAGACCACAGCAUCACAUGAUGCAGGGGGUAAAAAACUCCGGUGGCAUAGGAUGGACCCGCGUCUGAUUAGCUUGUUGGUGAGGUAACGGCUCACCAAGGCGACGAUCAGUAGCCGACCUGAGAGGGUGACCGGCCACAUUGGGACUGAGACACGGCCCAA